rnacentral:rRNA from 1 species
AGUGAACGCUGGCGGUAGGCCUAACACAUGCAAGUCGAACGGCAGCACAGUAAGAGCUUGCUCUUACGGGUGGCGAGUGGCGGACGGGUGAGGAAUACAUCGGAAUCUACUUUUUCGUGGGGGAUAACGUAGGGAAACUUACGCUAAUACCGCAUACGACCUACGGGUGAAAGCAGGGGAUCUUCGGACCUUGCGCGAUUGAAUGAGCCGAUGUCGGAUUAGCUAGUUGGCGGGGUAAAGGCCCACCAAGGCGACGAUCCGUAGCUGGUCUGAGAGGAUGAUCAGCCACACUGGAACUGAGCCACGGUCCAGACUCCGACGGUGGGCAGAAGUGGGGAAUAUUGGAGAAUGGGCGCCAGCCUGAUCCAGCCAUACCGCGUAGGUGAAGAAGGCCUUCGGGUUGUAAAGCCCUUUUGUUGGGAAAGAAAAGCAGCAGGUUAAUACCCCGCUGUUCUGACGGUACCCAAAGAAUAAGCACCGGCUAACUUCGUG